UCGGGAAUUUUGGGCAAUGGGGGAAACCCUGACCCAGCAACGCCGCGUGAAGGAUGAAGUAUUUCGGUAUGUAAACUUCGAAAGAAUAGGAAGAAUAAAUGACGGUACUAUUUAUAAGGUCCGGCUAACUACGUGCCAGCAGCCGCGGUAAUACGUAGGGACCAAGCGUUGUUCGGAUUUACUGGGCGUAAAGGGCGCGUAGGCGGCAUGACAAGUCACUUGUGAAAUCUCUGGGCUUAACCCAGAACGGCCAAGUGAUACUGUCGCGCUAGAGUGCAGAAGGGGCAAUCGGAAUUCUUGGUGUAGCGGUGAAAUGCGUAGAUAUCAAGAGGAACACCUGAGGUGAAGACGGGUUGCUGGGCUGACACUGACGCUGAGGCGCGAAAGCCAGGGGAGCAAACGGGAUUAGAUACCCUAGUAGUCCCUGAGCGGGCUGGCAAGGCGCAU
rnacentral:rRNA from 1 species